rfam:Microbacterium ginsengisoli strain DSM 18659 RR49_contig000080, whole genome shotgun sequence.
GUGACCGUAGCGGGAGAGCUCCGUCGCAGCCGGCGACGGGCACCGAAGGAGCAAGCCUCCCCGCCAAUCUCUCAGGUAGCCGUACCGCCCCGGUCGG